GGAGGAGUGGCAGAGCGGUUGAAUGCAGUGGUCUUGAAAACCACCGUGGGCGCGAGUCCACCGGGGGUUCGAAUCCCUCCUCCUCCG
rnacentral:tRNA from 1 species